UUUCGCUGCACAAAGCCGCUCACAGUACAUCUCUGAAGUUAACGCGCUCAGAUUUUAACUUUUCAACCUGUGCCGUGCCACAAACUGGGUCACUGAAAACCGCGGAAGUUUAUUCCCCCCCGACCAGGGGGGGCUGCGCCCUCAGGGAGCUGAGCGGUCCCCGUGAGGCCCCUUCGCUGCCUGCACAGUUCAGCUGUGCCGUCCCUAGCGCGGCAGUCCCUGGACCUGGUGUGCAGAGGAAUCGUGGUAAGAAAUGUGCACACAUCAUCCAGGCAGACGGUCCCGUGAGUCUGUCCAACAGAAAAGAGGAAGGCGAGGCGGAGUCCUGAAGGCGAGGCUUGCAGAGGCGGGAGAACCAGGCAGAAGGCCACGGGCCUGCCGAGCUCCCAGCAGCGACGGGGGCGGCGCCCUCAACACGCCGGCGCCCUAGGAAGGCCGAGUCUGUGUUCGCGCUGCCUGCGGUGUGUGGCAGCUGCGCGCUCCUUACCUGUGGGGCAGAGUUGGCCGGAGCCACUGCCUGAAGAAACUCGGCUCUGUCCUCCGUUCCGGGGAGCGGAAUGCGGCCAGUGGAUAUCUUUGUAAAGAAGAUGCUGAAUGUGGAUGUAGAAAAGAUGCAGACCCUGAGGCUGAAGAGGGAGGAAGCUGGAAACUCCGUGCGGGUAACUGAAUGCUAAGGCUGCUUCCUGGCCUCCAGCGGUGUCUGAGGAAAGGGUAAGUGAAGGGACUUGGAGACUGGAGACCUCACACGCGCCACGGACAUUUGAGCUGGUAGGUGGAUGUCUUCAGAGAUUAGACAGAGACAGAGC
rnacentral:lncRNA from 10 species